rnacentral:misc_RNA from 1 species
AAAAAAAAAAAAAAAAAAUCUAAUCUUCAUGCAAAGUUAAUCAAUUUUACAGUUUACACUAAAGUUGGGUUCUUGGUUACUUUUUUAAGGUAAGGUCAGUAGGUACAGGUCAGUAAGUACACUGCAACCAUCAUUGAAAGGACUUAAACUUACCACCUUGCAUAUAUCCAUUAAUGCACACUGCCCACAUGCACAUGUAGACACACGGUCCUAGGCACACAAUACACAUGCACACACGCCUUCACAUUUUUCUUACAAGGGUUUAUUAAAUAUUUUAACUUUUUUCGUGUAGAUAACUAUCUCUUUGUACAUUUGUGUGCACACUCAAGUGGGCUUGUGUGGCGCUCAUUUGCAUUGAAAUUUCAUUUAAAUGCUUCUUUAUGCCAUGAUAGUUGUAUUUAUUUUGUUGUAG